AGCACGAAGACUUCUUGGAAGACUCAAGGAGGUGAACUAGGGACGGAUAUUGGUACCGUGUGCAGAAAAUGUCCACCAUGACAUUCUCCCCCAAGGUAUUUACAGCCUGAAGACUCAUCCCCUGUAGAGACUGCUCCUACUGAGAUGAGCGAAACCUGCCUCCGUGUUCAGUUGUGUACCAUAAACCCUGCCUCCUUGUUUAUCUGUAUGUAAUAACCCCUCUUCUUUGUUCAGCCGUACACUGCCUUUCUGUCCAACUCUAUUCCUGGAUGCCGGUUUCUCCAGGAUCCUGGACAUUUAGAGGUUCAAUCAGUAUCACCUCACCAUAUGGGUCAUGGAUUCUUAUUGAAGUCCAUCAGUGUUCAGAGUCCAAGGAAGGGGCCCUAGCUGGAGACAAACCUGAUUGAAAGUUUUCUGCUAAGUUGAAGAACUUGCCCAGAGGUGGGGGGUGUCUGUCUGGAGGAAAGCUCUUGAGGUGAGCCCAUGGCAGGAGGCUGGAGCCACACCACUUCCUCUCGAGUUCUGAGUGUUCUGACUGAAUCACCCAUCCUGGUUUCUACGACAAAAGGCUCUUUAAACUUCCAGCCCUUGUCAAGCAACUGAAGUAGACCUAGAGAAGGGAAAGAGCUGACUGGCAUGGAGGCAACAGGGAGAGCCAUUUGAGGUGUUGGAACAAAGUGUCAUUAAAAAUCAUUGAGUAGGACCUGAGUUCAGUUCCUGGUACCCACAACCCAAUGCAAGGAAUCCACACCAGGAACCUAGAGAAGAAACUGGAGGAAUUUUGCUUGCCAGCUCACUCCAACUUAUUCUCAGAUAGCUUCCAUAUACAGAGGACCUGAGUCUGGUUCCUAGUAUCCAGAAUCUCCUGUAACUCCAGCUCCAGGGGGUUACACAAGUUGCUUUGCCCCCACCC